rnacentral:rRNA from 1 species
ACAGCAGUCGCCGCGGGAAUACGUAGGGUGCAAGCGUUAAUCGGAAUUACUGGGCGUAAAGCGCGCGUAGGCGGUUUCUUAAGUCUGAUGUGAAAGCCCACGGCUCAACCGUGGAGGGUCAUUGGAAACUGGGAAACUUGAGUGCAGAAGAGGAAAGUGGAAUUCCAUGUGUAGCGGUGAAAUGCGCAGAGAUAUGGAGGAACACCAGUGGCGAAGGCGACUUUCUGGUCUGUAACUGACGCUGAUGUGCGAAAGCGUGGGGAUCAAACAGGAUUAGAUACCCCUGUAGUCCCUGUCUCUUAUAC